rnacentral:rRNA from 1 species
AUUGAACGCUGGCGGCAUGCUUUACACAUGCAAGUCGAGCGGCAGCGCGGGGGCAACCCUGGCGGCGAGCGGCGAACGGGUGAGGAAUACAUCGGAACGUACCCCGGAGUGGGGGAUAACGCCGCGAAAGCGGCGCUAAUACCGCAUAUGCUCUGAGGAGGAAAGUGGGGGACCGCAAGGCCUCACGCUCUGGGAGCGGCCGAUGUCCGAUUAGCUAGUUGGUGGGGUAAUGGCUUACCAAGGCGACGAUCGGUAGCUGGUCUGAGAGGAUGAUCAGCCACACUGGGACUGAGACACGGCCCAGACUCCUACGGGAGGCAGCAGUGGGGAAUUUUGGACAAUGGGGGCAACCCUGAUCCAGCCAUGCCGCGUGCAGGAUGACGGCCCUAUGGGUUGUAAACUGCUUUUGUACCAGAGAAAACCUACUCACGUGUGAGUAGCUGAUAGUAUGGUAAGAAUAAGCAUCGGCUAACUUCGUGCCAG